rnacentral:rRNA from 1 species
UGCCAGGGACAAACUGGAGGAAGGCGGGGACGACGUCAAUUCAUCAUGGCCCUUACGGCCAGGGCUACCCACGUGCUCCAAUGGUAGGUACAGAGGGCAGCUACACAGCGAUGUGAUGCGAAUUUCAAAAAGCCUAUCGUAGUCCAGAUUGGAGUUUGCAACUCGACUCCAUGAAGUAGGAAUCGCUAGUAAUCGCGGAUCAGAAUGCCGCGGUGAAUACGUUCCCGGGCCUUGUACACACCGCCCGUCACACCAUGGGAGUUGAUUGCACCAGAAGUGGAUAGCUUAACCGUAAGGGGAGCGUUCACCACGGUGUGGUUGAUGACGAGUGUGAUGUCUGUAUCAAGGGCCCCGAGCCCCCUG